ACGGGUGAGUAACGCGUGGGUAACCUGCCUCAUACAGGGGGAGUAACAGUUAGAAAUGGCUGCUAAUACCGCAUAAGCGCACGAGGAGACAUCUCCUUGUGUGAAAAACUCCGGUGGUACAGGAUGGGCCCGCGUCUGAUUAGCUGGUUGGCAGGGUAACGGGCCUACCAAGGCAACGAUCAGUAGCCGGUCUGAGAGGAUGAACGGCCACAUUGGAACUGAGACACGGUCCAAACUCCUACGGGAGGCAGCAUG
rnacentral:rRNA from 1 species